UUCGCAAUGCCCGAAAGGGUGACGAAGCGACGCCGCGUGCGGGAAGAAGGCCCUCGGGUUGUAAACCGCUGUCAGGAGUUAAGAAAUAUAGAGAUGUUAAUAGCGUCUCUAUUUGACGAAGGCUCCAGAGGAAGCCACGGCUAACUCUGUGCCAGCAGCCGCGGUAAUACAGAGGUGGCAAGCGUUGUUCGGAAUUAUUGGGCGUAAAGAGCACGUAGGCGGCCCUGCAAGUCAGUUGUGAAAGCCUUCCGCUCAACGGAAGAAUGCCAGCUGAUACUACAGGGCUAGAGUACGGGAGGGGAGAGUGGAACUUCUGGUGGAGCGGUGAAAUGCGUAGAUAUCAGAAGGAACGCCGGCGGCGAAAGCGACUCUCUGGACCGAAACUGACGCUGAGUGUGCGAAAGCUAGGGGAGCAAACGGGAUUAGAUACCCCGGUAGUCCUAGCCGUAAACGAUGGGCACUAAGUAGAGGGGUUUU
rnacentral:rRNA from 1 species